rnacentral:rRNA from 1 species
GAUGAACGCUGUCGGCGUGCCUAAUACAUGCAAGUCGAGCGAAUGGAUUAAGAGCUUGCUCUUAUGAAGUUAGCGGCGGACGGGUGAGUAACACGUGGGUAACCUGCCCAUAAGACUGGGAUAACUCCGGGAAACCGGGGCUAAUACCGGAUAACAUUUUGAACCGCAUGGUUCGAAAUUGAAAGGCGGCUUCGGCUGUGACUUAUGGAUGGACCCGCGUCGCAUUAGCUAGUUGGUGAGGUAACGGCUCACCAAGGCAACGAAGCGUAGCCGACCUGAGAGGGUGAUCGGCCACACUAGGACUGAGACACGGCCCAGACUCCUACGGGAGGCAGCAGUAGGGAAUCUUCCGCAAUGGACGAAAGUCUGACGGAGCAACGCCGCGUGAGUGAUGAAGGCUUUCGGGUCGUAAAACUCUGUUGUUAGGGAAGAACAAGUGCUAGUUGAAUAAGCUGGCACCUUGACGGUACCUAACCAGAAAGCCACGGCUAACUACGUGCCAGCCGCCGCAGUAA